GACGAACUGUCCUAACGUUGUUCGGAAUCACUGGGCUUAAAGGGCGCGUAGGCGGUCCGACAAGUCAGGGGUGAAAUCCUGCAGCUUAACUGCAGAAGUGCCUUUGAUACUGUCGGUCUGGAGGGAGAUAGGGGUGUGCGGAACUUCUAGUGGAGCGGUGAAAUGCGUUGAUAUUGGAAGGAACGCCGGAGGCGAAAGCGGCGCACUGGAUCUCUUCUGACGCUGAGGCGCGAAAGCUAGGGGAGCAAACGGGG
rnacentral:rRNA from 1 species